rnacentral:rRNA from 1 species
GACGAACGCUGGCGGCGUGCUUAACACAUGCAAGUCGAACGGAAAGGCCCCUUUGGGGGUACUCGAGUGGCGCACGGGUGAGUAACACGUGAGUAACCUGCCCUUGACUUCGGGAUAACUUCAGGAAACUGGGGCUAAUACCGGAUAGGAAUCCUUGCUGCAUGGUGGGGGUUGGAAAGCUUCGGCGGUUUUGGAUGGACUCGCGGCUUAUCAGCUUGUUGGUGGGGUAGUGGCUUACCAAGGCUUUGACGGGUAGCCGGCCUGAGAGGGCGACCGGCCACCUUGGGACUGGGAUACGGCCCAGACUCCUACGGGAGGCAGGAGUGGGGAAUAUUGCACAAUGGGCGGAAGCCUGAUGCAGCAACGCCGCGUGCGGGAUGACGGCCUUCGGGUUGUAAACCGCUUUCAGCAGGGGCGAAGCUUGUGGUGACGGUACCUGCAGAAGAAGCACCGGCUAACUACGUG